rnacentral:lncRNA from 1 species
GUUGCCAGGGGCAACACAAGUACCAGGCGACGCUGGCCGACGGUUAACUAACUGGCAGUUUUUACCUAGCUUAGUUUGAAGAGGAAAUCAUCUCACCAAGCAUCACGCGGCCGGUCGCUCUCCUCACUCCACGCCGUGCAGUUUUCAGGUGCUGCAGGCUGCACCAUGAUGACACCAGGAGGAAAUCAUCUCACCAAGCAUCACGUGGCCGGUCGCUCUCCUCACUCCACGCCGUGCAGUUUUCAGGUGCUGCAGGCUGCACCAUGAUGACACCAGGAGACUCGCAGCUGGACGGCUCAAGCUCCCGUUUCCUGCCCAGAGUCCAGGACCUUUCCUCUUCCACCAGGACACACCGUCAGCACUGGUUUCACAUGUUUCAAAUCUAUAUCUCUCCAGUAGGAAUACAAAUGCCUCAGCAUGUGUCAGUGUCUCCUGUAGAUGUACAUUACAUGUAUCCUGGAAGCAGAGCCCAUUUCAAACAAGGAUCCGGUGAAACAGUGGGAGUGGAUGGUGAUGAGCGUGUCUGUGAGAGCUGCAGUGGUGCCAAGUCCAACCACAAGAGGGCGCUGAGGAGCAGCACACAGCACAGGCAAACUGGGAAAUGUAUUUUGCACGCAAUGAUAUUUCUCUCCUGAAGGCUGAUUACAACUGAAAUAUCUGUUAAAGUCAUUUAAUAUAAAAUGUUUAAGCACCUGUAAGUAAAACGUGUCUUAAUGCACAAUAAUACACUAUUUUAUAAAGUAUGAUUUAAAAAAAUAUAAAUAAUAAUUACUAAGUGGUUUACAUGGUUUAACCGAGAUUACAACAUUUCAGGACUGCAAUGAGGCAAAUAAAAUCAUUUAAAAUAAUUUAAAAAAAAGGAAAUGUAGUAAAAUACCCUACAAUUUGUUUGUAUAUUAAUAAUUAAGAUAGUCCUAACAGUAAAAUUGUUCUUAAUACUACAGUGCACGUGUUUAGAGCUUUGUUACCCUUUGUUUUAUUUGCAGACUAAAUCUGCAGAUGCAUUUAAAGUAUCAAAGUGCUCUUUCCAUUUCUUUUAAAUGAGUCGUGUAAUAAAACUCAGCUGGAUGCUGGAGUAUGUACACAAUUAGAUCUAUAUGUAAUAUUCAUUGAAUAAAUUGUUUCCAGGUGUAACGAUAACAUAACAAAAACGACAUAUUUUAGGGAAUUCUUUGAAUUUGUCUGAAUCUUUUGCCUUUUUUCCUCCGAUGGUGGAUAAUGUACUUUGCUGCGCUCCUGUUUGAUGUUAUUACCAGUAAUCAUGUCACAUUAAAUGCCAAUUUUGUAGCGUAGUACUGCCUGAUAAUCAUGACAUUGUUUGGACACAUGUUGGCUGAAAGCUCAGCGGUCUGUCUGAUGCUUUCAUCGUAUAACUUUCAUCUUUGCAACAUGUGACCUGAAUGUAUUCUAGUAGUCAUAAUGUGGCCGGUGAAAUCAAACGACCGCUACAUUUUCUUUCUAUUUGUGGUUUCUUUUUCAACCCUGCACGACAACAUCUGUCAACACCACUCUUUUAAAAAAAAAAAUUUGUAUUAAAUGCUUAACUUACACAGGCGGCUCAUGUAGUGUUGAUGUCGGUCGUGAUCUCUCCGCCUGGAAGCUUUCAUUUUACUCUUCUGUUGGACAAAGUUGCGUGUCCUUUUAUUGGAGAAGCUGCAUUCCCUCCAAUGUGUUUCUAAUACAACUGUAAAACAACAAGGAUCUGGGAACAUUUUUGCAAUCAGAGAACUUAAGAAAUGCUUAGAUUUGUUUGCUAUUACCUAAUUUGUAAAUGGAUAAAAAAAAACCCUUGCAUGUUAUGUAAAACAGGUGGUUGCUGUUUGCUAACAAAAGGUUCCCUGGUGUGCAUCUUGGACCUUUAGGCUACAAGGAUGCUCCACAAUGAUAAAUGUGUGAGCUGGUAAAUGCCUGUUGGAAUUUCUGGAUGUCUUUCUCUCUUUACACGGAUCUUUUGUCUUGACCUUAAUUCCUUAAAUGCAGCAGGUUAAUUUGCAAUUUAUUGGUGAGUUUCCCUUCACUGCAGAACACCAGUCUGCUGCCAACACUCGUGUCAAAGACAAGCGAGGGAAGCUUGGGGAAACAAAAACAUUGCAUUUGGAUUCAUGGCAACCGGGAUCAUUUUCCAAUCUGCUCUUUUUUUUUUUUGUUGCCAAACUCUUGUUUUAGAGCCAAAGCCUUGUUUUGUCUUGUUGGACUGAAGCAAAGACGUGCUCUGUGUAGAUUUGUGAAGAAGAACAUUUACAUUUGUGUUUGUUUUUAAUGCUAUAUGUUGAUACAGUUGAUAAGAGAAGCGUCUGUCCAUCUUUUCCUUCCUCUCCAUACUGCUGUAUACAUCGGUGAAUGUCAGAGGGGGAAGGAACAUGAUCUCCUUGACGAUCUACUCGGAUGACGGGGGCAACCCCCCUGAUAUGGACAGGACAUUUGAGAUACAUCUCCACGUUAAUAGAGGAUCUUCUUACAGCCUCUGAACCUUGAUAUCCCCAAGUAAAACACACGGAGAACUGUACUAGUAACCUCCGCGGAGGAGGUCAUGUGUUUGGUUCGGUUUGUUUGUCAGCAGGAUUAAACUCCUAAUCUGAUUUUCAUACAACUUGGUCAACGCAGAACCUAUUCAUCUUUAGAGCGGUGGCCUUAUACUCCUAAUGCUGCUUUUGUGGAAGGUCUUUUUGCAACUGUUUACACAACAGUGUCAUCGGCAUACAUGUGAUCAGGAGUAAAUUGUAGGGGGUCCUAACACUGAUCUCUGUGGUACACCCAUUUUCUUCCAUUGACAUGUUUUGUCGAUGUGGUGCAGCCGUAUGUCAGAUCCUCAGAGAGCACAUCAUCUCAUGUGUGGUACCUGAACAUGCAAUUAAAGUUGUUGUUUUAAAGAGCAUUCGUGGUGUUUUGUUUGCAUCUGUAAUCGAGAAAUAAAUGUAGAUUGUGGAUGCAAAUACACAGUCUGCAUACAUGAAUAAAUAAAUGUUCUAUCUAUUGCAUCUUCACAUUCCUAUCUGAUUA